rnacentral:rRNA from 1 species
AUUGAACGCUGGCGGCAGGCCUAACACAUGCAAGUAGAGCGGAGCGGCGGACGGGUGAGUAAUGCCUAGGAAUCUGCCUGGUAGUGGGGGGAAACGUCCGGAAACGGGCGAUAAUACCGCAUACUAUCAGAUGAGCCUAGGGCGGAUUAGCUAGUUGGUGGGGUAAAGGCCUACCAAGGCGACGAUCAGUAAAUGGUCUGAGAGGAUGAUCAGUCAUACUGGAACUUAGACACGUUCCAGUCUCCUACGUUGUGCAGCAGUGGGGAAUAUUGGACAAUGGGCGAAAGCCUGAUCCAGCCAUGCCGCGUGUGUGAAGAAGGUCUUCGGAUUGUAAAGCACUUUAAGUUGGGAGGCGUUACCAACAGAAUAAGCACCGGCUAACUUCGUGCCAGCAGCCGCGGUAAUUC